AUUCAAAUAGUUUAAAAAAAAUGUUAGCUUGUGGCGCUUAAGAUGUAAUAUUUACUUUGAGUU
rnacentral:tRNA from 1 species